AUUUCUUAAGAGGCAUGAAGCCAGAUCUAUGCAUCGAAGUGUGUUAAAUGAUUUAGGACAAAUCAGGCAGUGGGUGAUGCUGCUGCAGGUUGGUGGGAGGCUGUCUUGCCCACGGGCACCUCUGCUACCUGGUCUGAUGCAUCAUUUCUGGUCUGGGGUAGGUAAUAGGAUGCACUUGGAGGAGGUUAUCUGUCCAGGAAGCCUGGCACAGUGCAGCUGUGCACUGCAGAGCCCCGAGGAAAGUCUUGUGAUUUUGGUAGAGAGCAGAGCAAAUCGUGAGCGGGGGUCACUGUUGGUGGUAUCACUGGACACAAGAACACUGGCUCCUUGACCGCCCUCCUUCUCCUCUCUUGUGUCCAGAGUGAUGGUCUGGCCAUUCACUUCCUGGUUUAUCCAACUUUCUGGUGCUGUCAAUCUUGCAAAGUGCUGGUACAUCGGAUCCCAAAACAUGCAUUAAAUUUCCAUUCUUCCCUCUGUUUUCACUGCCUUACUCUGGAUCCCUGUCAUGUUUUGGGGGGGCCCAUGUCCCUACCUGGUCUCCCUGCUUCUAGUUUUGUUCCACUCCAUCUAGUCGAUCCCCCCUCCCCUCCCCGUCCCAGUUCUGGUGAACACAGGUCUCUUCCCACCAUUACCACCAGCAGUGGUCCCUGCAGCCUGGGGAGGGGGCUGGUCAGCGGAAGAACCCUCCCAAGGGCGUUCCUGGCUCCCAGACCCUCCUCCUCCUGCCCUCCUCCCUUGCGUAAGUAAAUACAACAGAGGAACCAAGUCACUGCAGGGUUCACCUUGACAGAGUCCUAAUUAGUAAUGCAUUACCUGCUUCACACCAACCACUUGCUUCUACAAUGAAUCCAGACAUCAUGGUGGAGAAACAUGAGCCCAGAGUAGAGAUUUACAUUCUCUGCAGGGAACAAGAGUCCUUUCCCAGACUCAGCAGACGUGUGUGUGCGCGCGCGCGCGCGCGCGUGUGGCUUCUUUCUUCUUCUUUUUAAAUUGAUGUAUAGUUGAUUUACAGUGUUGUGUUAAUUUCGCGUGUACAGCAAAAGUGAUUCGGUUACACACAUAUAUAUCUUCUUUUCCAUUGUGGUUUAUUACAGGGCAUCGAAUAUGGUUCCCCAUGCUAGGCAGUGUGACCUUGUUGCUUAUCUCUUUUGUAUACAGUAAUUUUAUCUGCUAAUCCUAACUCCUAAUUUAUCCCUCCCCACCCCCUUUCCCCUUUGGUAUCAGAAAUCUGUUCUUUAUGUCUGUGAGUCUGUUUUGUAAAUAAGUUCCUGUGUCAUACCUAUGUUUCAAUUCUCCCUUUCCUGCUGUCAUAGCAGCCCACCUGCACAUUUUUAGGGUUUGUCUCCUCCUUUCCUCUGUCAGAUGCACACAGAGCCUUCUGACUUUUCAAUCCCAACCCUGUGGUGAGGGCUUCCCUCAUCCCCUAGGCCCUUUGUGUGCAAGUUUGUUGCAGUGCUUGUUAAAAUGUACCCAUUUUAAGUGUGCAGUUUGAUGAGUUUUGGCAAAUACAUAAACCUGUGUUAAAACACCCUGGGCAAGAUGUAGGGUGUUGGUUACAUCUCAAAAAUUUCCCUUGUUCCCCUGGCUUGCCAGCCUCCCUCACCCCAGCUGAUGGAUCCCCUUGUCUGAUUUCUAUCAUAAUAGGUCAGCUUCGUUUUUCCUGGAGUUUCAUAUAAGUGGUGCAGAGUGUGUGUUCUUGGGUCCAGCUUCUCCCACUCAGAAUAAGGUUUUGGGGAUUCACCUAUGCAUGUGUGCAAGGUUGUUCCUUAUUCCAAGUGCUAGCCCUGGACAAUAGACCAUGAUUUGUUUACCAGCCUUCCUGCAUCUGGGCUUUUCCUAGUCUUUGGCUCCUAUGACCAAGGCUGCUACAAAGUACAAGUCUUUUGUGGACAUGUUUUUAUUUCUCUUGAGAUCUUUAGAGUUGGAAUUGCUAGGCCAAAGCGUAGGUGUGGAUUUAAUUUUCUAAGAAAGUAUUAGCAAUUUUCCUCAAAGCGAUUUUCCAUUCCCACCAGUUGUGUCUGAGAGCUUGGGCUGCUCCAACUGUCCUUACUUUUAUUGUCAAUCUUUUAGAUUUUAGCCAUCCUGGUGGGUGAGAAAUUUAGGCCCCCCAAUGUGCUAUCUCAUUGCAUUAAUUUACCUUUCCCCUUAUCACAGCAUGUUUUCAUUUUUCCUUUAAGCGUAAUUCUCCCCAUCAGAUGUCAGUGCAGAGACAGCUGUAUUCACCUUUGCUGGUUGAAUGAAUGCAGACUAAACAGCAACACAGAUCCUGCCCUCACUUACUUUAUGUCACACUGGGACAACCUGGGGAGACGCUGCAGCAGUACAAGGGCAGGCCACCAACUGGCCCGGUUUGCCCAGGACUGAAGAACUUCAUGGGCCAAGGGACUUUCAGAGCUAAACCCAGGACAGUCCUGUGUGAACGGGGAUGGUUGGUCACCCAGGGGAUAUGGGUAUCUGACAGAGAGUGGGUGCGACAUUUAGUCACAAUUACACCAAAAUUAUAGAAUUUCUCUAUAACCAAUAUUCCCCCCCACCCAGUUUUUGUUUUGUUAACCACAUUUGCUAAGAACUAGGCUAAAGGAUAUUAUAAAUUAGGAAUUAUUCUUACAUUUAGUGGAGAGCUAUGCUUGCUAUCCAGCUUUUCCCUUUUCCUGUAGCUCUGCUAGGACACUGGAACCCAAGCCAGGAAGAGUUGGCACCUCCUUCUGUCCCCAGUGCCUUUCUUAAUUACCAGGCCCCUAGGGUGCUCAGGAAGGAAGAAGAACUUUAGGCCCCUUCAAUGUGGUGACUUGUCCUACAUCAUCUAGCAAAUGAAUGUCAAAGCCAGGGUCAGAAUCAACACUUACUAAGUCAAGACCAGUGCUUUCUUGCUUUUUCCAUUUUAUCAUGCUACCUUCCUUUAGACCAGGGUUUUUCAAACUCUGUAUAACCAUCUUAGUUCAGGAAUCCCUACUUCUGCUGAUGGUGGAAAACCUCAGUCUUUCCAGUUCAGGGUAACUCAGGUCAUUUUGAUGCCAGAAAGACCUAACCGGAAUCUGGGUUCUUGUUCACAGAGCCAAAGAAUAAACUUUGCUACACACAGGCAGCAAGCAAGCAAAGUCUUUACUACAGGAAAGCAAACAGCUCUGAGGACAGACUGGGAGGGAGAAGAAGAGUCCCCCUCUCUAUUGUCCUAUGGGGGUUUUAUUGCUUAAAGAUGGGGGGGGUGUACCAAGGUGGGGUCCAGAAAGGUGUGGUUUUCUUCCAUUGGCCUUGCCCAGUUACCUAUAUCAGUCCUUGACCAAUAGGGGUCUUAGGGGUGGAAAUGCCCCCUAGGUCUCAUGGUCUCUUUGGCCUUCUCUUCCCAUAGACUGAGUCACAGGGGGUUAGGGAUUAAUGUCCAUCUGGGCACAGGUACACUCCCUAUAGUAAACAAGGCCAGUGGGGAGGUUACUUCCUGGAGCCCUUAAGGCACAAAUGUUAAUCAAUAUCCAUAUCAAAGAACGCAUUGAAGCCCAUGCUCCUACACUGACAACCUGAGUUAGUAUUCUGCCUCACUUUCAGUCCUACUUUAAGUCCUGAGUCUGUUUACUCAGGAUUUAAACUAGUACCAGAUUUUCCACCUGCCCCUUCUUUGCAGCCUGCACUGGGAGCUGCCCUGGGCUUCCUGUUGACUGGGUACUGGGCUAAUUAGCAAGUGUGCUGCCUUGUUCUGGGUCUCAGGAGGCAUGUGCUUGGCAGAGGUAGCCCAGGAUGUUUCCAGAACCCUUCUGUAAUUCACUGUGGCUACUGGAGUUCUGAGGCUUCCCUCAGGCCAUCUUCCCAGGCAUCCCUGCCCUUCAUCCCAGUUUCCUUGCUAUCCACUUACAGGCUCCGUGUUGGAGGUGGGGCUUCCAUCUGAGGCCUUGGGUCCCUCUCACCCCACCCUUCACAGCAACCCUCAACCCAGUCUUAUUCCUGCCGUACUUCUUGCAUUAUGUGCUGUUUCAGAUGGGCUCUUCUCAUGAGCAGUUUCUCCCCGGGUUAUGGCCAUAGUCUAUGCCCCAGGCUUCUAAGCUUUUGGCUCUUGGUAUCUAAGGAUGUGUUUCUUGAGUUCCAGCAAAUAAAAACAAACAUUAAACACAAAACCCUCUUCUGGGUUAAGUCAUGUCUUUUAAGAUAAGCAUUUUGAAAAUCAACCUGGCGGUUGCAUUGGCUUCUUGAGUCAAUUCUGUACCUGCCUUCUCUAUUAGGGGACACCCAGGGAAGCUCCCUGCUGCCUCAGAGGGAGCAUGGUGGGCAUGGAGGGGGAAGACAGAGGCAGCUCUGAGGGUGGUUUAAAGGCUUCUUGGAGAGAUGAGCCCAGAGAUUGGACAUUAAGGAAAAGGUAAGGGGGAGAAGGGGCUGGACUCUCAUUCUAGAACAGUCUGGCAUCAACCAAAACACAAAGCCAGCUGAACCUGGGGUGUGGGAAGGCUGAUAAGGCAGCCUGACUUCAGGGGAGGAUGUGGGUUCCAGGGGAGAUAAACAGGGAGGGCGGUGGUGCAGUUCCUUGCAAAGUGUAUCUCAGGUCACCUGCUGGUUUCUAAAAGACCCAGCUGGGUUCCAAGUCUGCCCCCCAAGCCCCAGCCCCAUCCUUGGGGUCUGAUUGUCACAGCCUGCCUCUUCUGGACAAAGCAUCCACCUCCACCUCCACCCCACAGAGGAGGUGUGAUUAUCCCCAUUUGCAAAAGGAAACCCCGCUCAGCGAAGGCAAGUCUCUAAGUCAGGUCCUUCAGCAUCCCACAGACAGGUGUUGAGCACUCUGGUGCCUCAGAUAGGAGCUCUGCUGAAUUCCUCUUUCUUUCCUACUUUAUGAAAUGUUCAACUAACACAAAAGGACAUUGCCUCCUUGUAGUUUUCAUUUGCAUAUGCUGGGAUGAACAUAUACACACUAUCAUAUAUAAGAUAGAUAACCAAUAAGGACUGACUGUAUAGCAUAGGGAACUCUCCUCAAUAUUUUGUAAUAACCCAUAAUGGGAAAGGAGCAGCAGAAGAAUAUAUUUGUGUGUAUACACACACACACACACGCAUACGUAAAACUGAAUUUCUGUGUUGUACACCUGAAACUAACAUGAUAUU
rnacentral:lncRNA from 1 species